rnacentral:misc_RNA from 1 species
GUGGAGGCGAAGGUUGGGCUGGACAAGGAGAGGAUGAGGGCGACGCGCCACGUGCUGUCCGAGUACGGCAACAUGUCGAGCGCCUGCGUGCUCUUCAUCCUCGACGAGAUGCGCAAGCGCUCCGCCGAGGACGGCCACGCCACCACCGGCGAGGGCAUGGACUGGGGCGUCCUCUUCGGCUUCGGCCCCGGCCUCACCGUUGAGACCGUCGUCCUCCACAGCGUCCCCAUCACCGCCGGCGCCGCCGCCUGAGCGCUCCGCCCUGGUCGCCGCCGG